GACGAACGCUGGCGGCGUGCUUAACACAUGCAAGUCGAACGGCAAGGCCCUGCUUUUGUGGGGUGCUCGAGUGGCGAACGGGUGAGUAACACGUGAGUAACCUGCCCUCGACUUUGGGAUAACUUCAGGAAACUGGGGCUAAUACCGGAUAGGAGCUCCUGCUGCAUGGUUUGGGUUGGAAAGUUUCGGCGGUUGGGGAUGGACUCGCGGCUUGUCAGCUUGUUGGUGGGGUAGUGGCUUACCAAGGCCUUGACGGGUAGCCGGCCUGAGAGGGUGACCGGCCACAUUGGGACUGAGAUAAGGCCCAGACUCCUACGGGAGGCAGCUGUGGGGAAUAUUGCACAGUGGGCGGAAGCCUGAUGCAGCAACGCCGCGUGCGGGAUGACGGCCUUCGGGUUGUAAACCGCUUUCGCCUGUGACGAAGCGUGAGUGACGGUAAUGGGUAAAGAAGCACCGGCUAACUACGUG
rnacentral:rRNA from 1 species